AGGUGACAAAAGCAUGUAAUAGCUGCGGAGGAGCAGGGUGUCGGACUGAAAGCUGAGAAUCACGUGAAGGCGAGGGAAAUAACAGUGGAUAAUGAGCUGAAAAAGGCCAGGGUACUCUCCUUCCUUCCAGUGCCUCUUCUUAUCGGAAACAGCACUGGCGAUAACAGAUGGAACAAUGAAGAAGUUUGGGGGAUGAGGCUUGGACUUGGGCAUGGGUUCUGGGCGUAGCAGAGCAGAGGAGAGCAGAGAAGAAGAGAAGGAAAAGGUCAUUUUUGUCUGCUAAAAAUACCCACUGCCCCACUGGAGCAAAUUGCUGCUGAAACCUCCAGCCAAUUUUCAGCAUAUCAACGUGGUUGGAAUGCAUUUUGACUGAACUGAAAUGCUGAACCAAACAACAUAGCAGUGAGAUUGGCAGCAAUUAUCUCCCCCAACUGCACCUCACUGGCAAUAAAAGCUGAACCAAAGGAGGCCUAUGUUUUUCAAUUAUUUACCAAAAUAUAACGAAAGAAAUCAUCGUUUUUGA